UCAGGAGUUUCUUUGCCUAAAAACAUGACAUUAUUGCCUUUUACCAUAACGUCCCAUGGGCAAGAAAAUGAACUCCACUAGCUUCAAUCUUUGGAUUUCCUUCGGACGGGU
rnacentral:snRNA from 1 species